GACGAACGCUGGCGGCGUGCUUAACACAUGCAAGUCGAACGGAAAGGCCCUGCUUUUGUGGGGUGCUCGAGUGGCGAACGGGUGAGUAACACGUGAGUAACCUGCCCUUGACUUUGGGAUAACUUCAGGAAACUGGGGCUAAUACCGGAUAGGAGCUCCUGCUGCAUGGUGGGGGUUGGAAAGUUUCGGCGGUUGGGGAUGGACUCGCGGCUUAUCAGCUUGUUGGUGGGGUAGUGGCUUACCAAGGCUUUGACGGGUAGCCGGCCUGAGAGGGUGACCGGCCACAUUGGGACUGAGAUACGGCCCAGACUCCUACGGGAGGCAGCAGUGGGGAAUAUUGCACAAUGGGCGGAAGCCUGAUGCAGCAACGCCGCGUGCGGGAUGACGGCCUUCGGGUUGUAAACCGCUUUCGCCUGUGACGAAGCGUGAGUGACGGUAAUGGGUAAAGAAGCACCGGCUAACUACGUGCCAGCAGCCGCGGUGAUACGUAGGGUGCGAGCGUUGUCCGGAUUUAUUGGGCGUAAAGGGCUCGUAGGUGGUUGAUCGCGUCGGAAGUGUAAUCUCGGGGCUUAACCCUGAGCGUGCUUUCGAUACGGGUUGACUUGAGGAAGGUAGGGGAGAAUGGAAUUCCUGGUGGAGCGGUGGAAUGCGCAGAUAUCAGGAGGAACACCAGUGGCGAAGGCGGUUCUCUGGGCCUUUCCUGACGCUGAGGAGCGAAAGCGUGGGGAGCGAACAGGCUUAGAUACCCUGGUAGUCCACGCUGUAAACGGUGGGUACUAGGUGUGGGGUCCAUUCCACGGGUUCCGUGCCGUAGCUAACGCUUUAAGUACCCCGCCUGGGGAGUACGGCCGCAAGGCUAAAACUCAAAGGAAUUGACGGGGCCCCGCACAAGCGGCGGAGCAUGCGGAUUAAUUCGAUGCAACGCGUAGAACCUUACCUGGGUUUGACAUGGAUCGGGAGUGCUCAGAGAUGGGUGUGCCUCUUUUGGGGUCGGUUCACAGGUGGUGCAUGGCUGUCGUCAGCUCGUGUCGUGAGAUGUUGGGUUAAGUCCCGCAACGAGCGCAACCCUUGUUCACUGUUGCCAGCACGUUAUGGUGGGGACUCAGUGGAGACCGCCGGGGUCAACUCGGAGGAAGGUGGGGAUGACGUCAAGUCAUCAUGCCCCUUAUGUCCAGGGCUUCACGCAUGCUACAAUGGCUGGUACAGAGAGUGGCGAGCCUGUGAGGGUGAGCGAAUCUCGGAAAGCCGGUCUCAGUUCGGAUUGGGGUCUGCAACUCGACCUCAUGAAGUCGGAGUCGCUAGUAAUCGCAGAUCAGCAACGCUGCGGUGAAUACGUUCCCGGGGCC
rnacentral:rRNA from 1 species